GGAAUAUCCUUCCUCGUGAACUCAUUCUCUCUCCUGGUCUCAUCUGGCUUUGCACAUGUUCUUCCUCAAGGAAGCAAGUCAAGAAAUGUGUGCAUUUGUGGAGGGAGAGGGUCAGAAUUUUUGGCAGGCAGUGAUUGGAAGAUGCUGUAGAAGACAGCUUUCCAUUGAGGGCUCACCCCAGUGCUCAUUUGAUUAUUCAAGGUUUGGAGGACGUCUGUACUGAUCAGUGACAUUCGUGGGUCUUCUUAGCAGCUGCUGCCUCCGGUGUUCUUUCAGCUUCCUGUUAACCCAGAAGAGUGGGAGAUGAGACCUUGGUGUUCUGAUACAGAUUGUUUUGACUCCAUGCAUCGCAGUUUGUGCCUGCAGAUAUGUAGCUGGUCAGUACACAUUGUUUCUUUCUCUGAUUGCGGUCUUGAAAUUUCUAAACUGGAGAAUAAUAACUAGCAGAAAGUGAGUACUGUAUCUCAUGCCUCUGGUGACAACUUCCAGGUGAAUAAUAACUCAUCCUUGGUAUAAUGGAUCUCUAAGAGCUUCUGAAUACUUUCACCACAUUAUGCUUGAAGAUAGAACUGCUUGUGUUUGUAGGGUUUUUUCUUGUUUAGUUGGUUUUGCUUCUCUCGUCUCUUUUGGUCCCCAGGGACCAGGAAGAAGACACAAGGCUAUCAGUGCCCAUGAGGUAAGCGCCCUGCUUCCUAGACUGCCCUUAGGAAAGAGAGGCAGAUUGCUGGGUCAAGGGCCAGCAUGGACUAGCAUCUAUUAUACUGCAAAUGUUGGCAGCGAAUGGAAAAAUUAUCUAUCUGCCCCAGGGGACGCCUACUGCAUCGGUGUACAAUCUUCCUGUUCCAGGGAGUGAGAAUUAAACAUCCCUAGUAGGUCCCUUCUGGGCCAUUUCCCUGAGAAAAGCCAGAGAUUCUCUGUUCUAGUUUUAUAUAUUUAUAUACAUACAUACACUUUUUCAGUCUUACUGAAAUUUGGCUCCCCACCUUAUCCCAGGAUUCUAUCUCACAGCACGUGCUCAGAGUCCAUAUGCUGCUUCCUAAAUCUUCCUUGCCUGUACUUCCUAGUUGGAGUGCUGUCGGCCAGAGAUUCCCUGGACCUGCUUGCUUGUGUGCAACACCAUAAGAUCCUGCGAAAGGAGCACAUAAUCUCCCUGUAGCUAGAGGAAGGUGUAUGCUGGUGUUUCUUGGAUGAACCAAGGCUGAAAUUCUCAAUGGUAGCUAGGAACAUGGCUAUGCCUCUCUCAUGUAGCAGUUUAAUUGUGGAUGAAUCCCCUGUGCUUCUUUGAACCCCUCAGGACAGAUCUUGAACAACAAGUUAUCAAAAGGCUGCCUGUAUUUCCAAUGAGAUCUAUUGUCCUGAGACUAUUCCAGGUUAAGAAAAGAUGCUUUGCUUCUACUUUUCAUUUCAGCUGCAUAAAAAAAAAUCUAACACAUGCUGUUAGGUAUGGCUUUCUAGUCUCUCUGGGCUGCUUCCACAUAUCCUUACUGCUCUUGAAAGCAGGUCUCAUCAUACAAAGACAGCUUUCCCUACCUGCUGCGAAGUGGCCAACCAACAGUCUGGCUCCCCCUCAUGUUUCUUGAAAGCAUUUAAGAAGGGCACGUUUUUGCCUGUUUUCAGUGCAGUGCUUCUUAGCUUUCCACCGAUAUUCUGCUGAGGACUGUAAGUUUCUUUGGCCACCUGGGCAGACAGGUAGCAUCACAGAGAAUUUAGGCAGAGCCUUGGCUCAGUUUUCCUUCUCUUCCUUUUCUUGGGUCCCAUGGAAGCAGCCCGUGGACUUCCCUGGGUCUGUACACCAGAGGCAGAAUGCAAGCCAGCAGAUGCUGCUCUGCUCCUGUUUUAGCAAAGCUUUUCAAAAAGCUUCUCCAAGCCUCUGUUCCUUAGAGAGCAGAGAACUGUAAAGGCCAAAACUUGUUUCCAUUUUAAUCAUAUCAUAAUUCCAGUAGGUGCCUGUGAAGCAGAAAAGAGCAGCUCUCUCCCUAUUAUAGAGAGCUGAAUAAUUCAGAUACCUUCUCUAGGCCUCCUCCUCUCUUCCAAGAUAAUAAUCGUCCCACAUUUUAGUGCUGCCACAAAAACCAGCCACCCAGGACUUCACUGUGCUCACUAGGCUUUGUACUGACAGAGGAGAAAAUGCAGAAAAGAGAUUUUUUUAAUUUAAUUGCUGGAACAUGAGUCCUGGGACAUCACCGUGUGUCUCUGGUUCCCUCAGAAGCUGGGCAGUGCAGAUCCCACAUGUAUGGGUAUGUGCUCAUAUGGGAGCACAGGGGGGAGGAUGUUUAUGCAGCCCAAGACUGGGGAUUUGGCCUAAAUGGGAGAAAUCUUGCUGCUGUUUCCCUGUGGUUUUGGCCAUAUUACUUUUUCAGUGAUAUGGCUGUGACUUGUUCCUCCACAUUCCCAGCAUGUGCUGAUGGGCACGGCUGGGUUCAGCCAAGCAAGUUGAAGUUCCUGUGCCAUCAGAUUAUACCAUUAUAUGUUAGAUACAAGCAGAACCAGAGUAAAUCUGUAGUGGAUAUACACACCACAGUCCUUACCUGACAGUGUAAAGCCAGGUAAAGACUCCAAGAUAAAGUAAUUAUGAAGAAAGCUGCUCACAAACAAACCUUCCCUAUGUAUUACAAAUGUUACCACAGUUUUUCAGUAGCUAAAAAUGUUUGUUCUUUGAAAGAUAUCCAAAUUGAGGAGAGCUCUGCAGACAUACAGUUAGAAUAACGAGUGUAUAGGCUGGCUGUGAGCGCUCCUGCAGAUGAAUCCCAAAGGGAAGAAGAGGAGGCUGUAGUGGGAGCUAGAAGGAGCACUGGCAAAUCUAUGACUCAACACUGUUGGGACGGGUAAUAUGAUAAAAAACUUCAGAGAACAAAGGAAAUCCUGGAAUUGUUAUAGAUCUUUUAUGAUAUGAUGUUAUCUUCCAAAAUAUCUAAUAUUCCUGCAGUGGGGGAAAAAAAAGCCAGCAGUACCCACUAAAUCUCUAUCCUCAGUUUUCUUACAGAAGCUAGGUGGCAUAUUAGAAUCCUAUGAGAUGAAUGAGUGAUUCUAUGUUAUUUUAUGUUAACAACCAAAGUUGCUGAAUAAAAGCAAUUAUUAGCAUUAAAUAUUCCCAAGUCAGGACAACCAGAUAAUGCACAAGAGGAUUCUAAAAGCUCCCUGAAGAUUUCUCUGGAGAGUUGAUGCCAAUUUUGAAUAAAAUUUGAAAAAACAGGUUGCAAACUUUGUGCUGGCUCUUGUAAAGUGUGAAUGGGACAACAGAGGCACCUGUCGAUCUGCUGCAAUACAAUGCAGGAUGUGGUGAGUGCAAAAUUAACCAGUAGGAGUUUCAGAAUGUGCACUUCGAAUGAUGCUGAUACCAAAACAAGCAUUGUCAUGGUGCGGGUGGCAGGGUGUAUUUGCACAGGUGAACUUUGUUACAGUGACAGAGGAAAGGCUGCACUCAGGAAAAUGUUAUUCUGAGCAGUACUGUGGGAACACAGGCGCCGACAGAGAAACAACUAUGGGCUGCCAAGUGCAGCCAAGGCCAGAGGGAAAAUGUGGGCUAUGAUAGACAGACAUGGUCCUGCCGAGCAGGUGCCCCGGCUGGAUCAUCCUACACACAGCCGUGUGAGAUGCUGGCCAGGCCUGCACUCAGUGGGCAAUACGGACAAAUAAAAAGCCAGCAAUUUUUCUGCAAGAGCAGGUCUUCAGAAAAGCUCUCCUAGUUUUCGAGAGGUACCUGGAUUUCAAGAGUACCAGGGAUUCUGGCACCGAGGUCAUACAUGAAGACGUGAGAAAGAAGAUGGCCCUUCCUUUAUUUUUCCAUGAUUCUGGGAGCAGCUUUGGCUAAUGGAGGAGGACCUGCGCGCUUGAAAAGGCUGCUCAUAGAGGUAUGCUAAUGCACCUUUACAGAGGAGAGGAAACCCCAAGUUACUCAGGCACUGGGAAUUGUGUGAGGAAAUCAUCUGUGAGCAUUUGUGUGUGGGGUACUGGCAAAGGCAUAUUGCUCUCCUUCGGUUGUUUGAACACCUGCUAUUUCUUUCAAUACUUGCUCAUUUAGAGCUUUUUCCCUUUGCCUGCAGAAUCCCUGCUUCCUCCUGGGCAUGAAGGCUGACUUAUCUACUCACUGCAUCAGUUUCUCCAGGCAGACAGUCUUCCAAAUUAAGAAAUGCGUGUAGCCUCAAAUUUCUGGCAACCAAAAGGGAGGAAAAGAACUUCACUCUCAAAAGAAAUCUCCACGUUCCAUGAGAAACUCUCACAUUCUCUAGUUGUAUCAGAUAAUAAAAAAAAUCAAUAAAGAAAUAGAGAAUGAAAAGCUGUCUGGUAGAUGUUGGUCAAGCAGGAAACUGGGAAGGAGAAAACACGGUUGGCAAUGGCGCUGCGAACCAGCCAGAAACAAAGGAAAUAAACAAGGAAAUGCUGAGGGAUGGACGGAGAUGUUUUCUACAGAGGUUGUUCUAAACUCUGUACAUUAACCACGAGAGAGGGAGAUACUUCUCCGAACCACGAUGUAACACAUUCCAAUGCUACCUCUGGCAGCACUACGUGACCGAAUCUCACCUACAGAAUCUGGGCUCUUCACCAGCUCCAUCCCAGGCACAUAGCAAUGGGAGCUACAAGAUGACUACAUCUGCCUUUUGCAGAAGCCCAAACCAGGCUGGAUAUUUUGAUUUUAAAUUCUCAAGCCAGUCCUCCCAGUGCAGUUUGUAGCACACCUUAAAGUUGAAGCUCACACUCUAAGAAAAGGAGCGUAAAGAAAACAAGAAAAAAUCUUCAAGUGUUUUUUGGAAGUCCUUGCAGUGCAACUCCUAGAGGUGUACAGAAACAUGAUUUUCAGCUCAGUGGGACAUUAAUGAAGCUCUUCCUCUUAAGCAGGAUCUGUACUGUCAGUGCUCUUGCUUCAGAGAAAGUCGGUUUUUGGCUUUAAAACACCAUGCAUCACAGGCAUUAAUAUUACCCACAUUAAUGUACAAUUUAGAGACUGUAAGAAGCUCCCAGUGCUACACCUGCAAAUAACAAAUAGAAGAUGGCUCUCCCCCCAAAAUCACUGCAGGAGUGCUGGGGACAUGGAGGGAUCAGACCAAACGCAGCCAACAGCUACUCAGGCAGAAUGAGCUUUAAAGCAAUGGCACUUAAAGGAGUACAAAAAGGCAGUUGCCUUUUAGUUACUUCUGGCUUGGGAAUCUUUAAAUAUUUUGUGUAUCAGCUCGGGUCUUCUGCCACCUCCCAGUCAGAGGACAAGAAAGCACUAUUUUUAAAAUGAAAGCUGAGAAAGCCAUGUCCUCAGAAGCUUUAAGGAAAAUACCAAGUGUGACGCGUGAGGGCAAAACCAUAGUGCUGUGCCACUGCUCUUUUGGUGGCUUUCAGAUCCAGAGUUUAGCACAAAAUCGAGGCUGCUUUCCCCUCACAUUCUUCAAUGCUAUAGAUCAGGGCAAUGCGCUGCCCUUUAAGCAAAUGCAUUUUAAAAAGCAAUUUGAUUAUCUUCAUUGUGCAAUUAUCAGCAGCUGAGAUCAGCAAAAAUCAGAGGUUUAUAAUUAUAUCCAAUUUCCCACUCAUUACAGACAAUAAGAUCUGGACGGUCAUUUUCCUUUUUGUUUAUAAUUAGUUUCUACUUACAAUUAUCUUCAGACUGUAAUGCGUUAGAACUACACGAAAUAGUUGGAAAUUACUUGCUGUAAAAUUCUUAUUUGUUUUUUCCUCGAGGACUUCCAAGCACACAGAAGGAUUUAUUUGACACAGAC
ensembl:lncRNA